GGACAGAUGACCCAGGAAAACGCAGCUAUACGUGGAGCAAGAUCUUUUCUGGCUUGGCAAUCCCAACCGUGCCGGCAUUAAAGGACCAAGUUACCCCUGGAAACCAAAGGGCAAGGACAGCAGCAAAAACCUGAGGCCCGCUCUGUGCCUGCCGACCAAUGACCAGUUCCGUGGAAGAUUCUGCCAACCCAUUUCUGCCCGCCAUUGACCAGUUCCGCGGAAGAAUCACCCUCCACGUGAACCAAGUUCAAGCCUGAGGAAUGAAUGACUCCCUUGGUCACACCAUCCUAUGACUGUGACUCAAAAAAGACCCAAAGCCCUACAUGCUUGAAGACUUGCACGGCAAUCCAUUUAGUUAACGUUUGGUAUUUUAUUAAGCAGUGUCCACAGUCCUAUGGAGGAUGAGAUCUGAUCAGGCUUCCCAGCCCAACUACUACUGCUUCCCCUUUCUGUCAGCACCCUGUCCACUGCAACUUCCACCAGAAAAGCAAAGUGGAUUUGGGAAAAAGAAAACAUGGAAGAUAAGAAGACAGAAGAGUGAGGAUUCAUUCUCAGGGUUAUUAUCAACUCAGUAGACUGGCCUCAUCACUAAAGUUCACUGAAACCUCAGUUUCACCUUCUGUAAAAUGGGGAUUGUAAUAU